UCCAGACUCCUACGGGAGGCAGCAGUGGGGGAUAUUGCACAAUGGGGGGAACCCUGAUGCAGCGACGCCGCGUGGGUGAAGGAGCGUUUCGGCGCGUAAAGCCCUAUCGGCAGGGAAGAGGGAGGACGGUACCUGACUAAGAAGCCCCGGCUAACUACGUGCCAGCAGCCGCGGUAAUACGUAGGGGGCAAGCGUUAUCCGGAUUUACUGGGUGUAAAGGGGGCGCAGACGGCAGCGCAAGCCAGGAGUGAAAGCCCGGGGCCCAACCCCGGGACUGCUCUUGGAACUGCGCGGCUGGAGUGCAGGAGGGGCAGGCGGAAUUCCUGGUGUAGCGGUGAAAUGCGUAGAUAUCAGGAGGAACACCGGUGGCGAAGGCGGCCUGCUGGACUGCGACUGACGUUGAGGCCCGAAAGCGUGGGGAGCAAACAGGAUUAGAUACCCUGGUA
rnacentral:rRNA from 1 species